GCCCACAGCUGUAUCUUUUUGCAGAGGGCUGAGAAAUGCUGACCUGGCCAGCAUCCAUUCACAAGAGGAGGAUGAGUUUAUUCAGACUAUCAUUCAAUACUAUGACGGAUAUUCGUGGAUUGGUUUCAAUUCUUCUGACGAGGAACACUGGAGCGAUGGAACUUACGUUAACUACAGUGUCAUCGAAACUGAUGCAGAAGGUGGGUGCGUUGUAUACAGCCAGGAAGAUCACGUAUUCUCUUGGAAAACUCAACUGUGUGCAUCAUCACAACAUGCGUACGUGUGUAAGGAUAUGAGAGGUAAUAUUUAUUGUGUUAACUGUCGAGUACUGAAUUGUUUCUAACGCAUUGGUGUACAGUCAAAAUUUGACUAAUGCUACGAAGAGUUAACAAUAUAAUGCCUUACAACAUAUUAGCUCAAAUUCUAACAUGUUUGCUCUUUUCACAGCAUUAACCAAAAAACAGAAUUUUCUUUACAGCAUUAAACGAUAUUUGUUUACAGCAUUAAUCCCGUUUACUCUACAGCGUUAACAUUUUAUCCACAGCAUAAAAGAAACUGGAAGUAAUUUUUUCACGUAUCUGACCAUGAUUUAUGUUAAAGGGUUAACAAAGUUUUAUUUCAGCUACCAAGGAAUAUUUCCUUUCCACUUGUUCUUUGUCUUUGAUUUCAACGGAAUUUGCUGUUGGAGUGUUGGAUCAAUCGAUUACUCACAAAAAGACGGUGACAUACGGUAUUGAUCUAAACAGGAUGGGUGCAUUGUUGAAGAUGACUUGAAUGGAUAAGAACACAUACUGGUAGGAAAUGGAGGUAGUAAGUAGUAGAAAGUGAACCCCACGGUGUGACAGCUGGAGAAGUACCACGAUUCUCUCUUUAUCAAGUAAUUGCUGUAAACAGGAAGAACAGGCAAUAUUUCGCAUGGAAAAAAGUUGUACUCAUAAAAUCUUCGUGUUAAAUAUGACAUCCAGGAACAUUUUGCAGUUUUUCAGACACCUUUCAAACAUUCGGACAUUAAUUGCAUCGAUAUCAAGAAUAGUUUUGGUCCAUAAUGAAAAACAAAACCAAGAAAAAUUAUCCAUAUCAUUUAACAAAAAACACUGACGUGCGUUGCUGCUUAUCUGACCUGAAAGAAAAAUGUAUCUGGCAUUGGCUACACAUCCAGUUGCUAAAGUUUGUCUUAAAAUUGAUGUAAUAAAAUGUAGAAUCAUGCCUAGUAUCGAGUGAGUCAUCAAUGAAUGAAUGGUUGGAUACCUUUAAAAAUGUAUUUUUUCAACAGUUACCAUCCCAUCAGUUUUAGGAAUUAGGAGCUAAUGAAUAAAAUGAACAUACGUUAUGAACAUUUUCGAGAGAUAGAAAAGCAAGAACCUAAUUUAACCAGUUAAUUUAUUUGUAAAUAAACAAUGAACAAAUACGCAGAUGAUCUGUAUUGACAUUCUAUACAAUGUAACUGUACAAUUCUGUCUUUCUAUUUAGACACACAGUCGUAUUUAGUAUUAAUAAUACACACAGUUACAAAUCCAUACAUGAUACCUUGUCAACAUGGCUGCCAGAACACAUGAGUAGCAUUUAAUAUGUACUCCAUUGUCCUCCCGCUUUGCAAGGCUACUACCAAGACGUUUGCCUGUGUUCAGUAUAUUAUAUCUACCUCCAUGAUUACAUUAACCAUCAGUGAUGCUGUAUGAAAAUGAUUUCUGGAGGCUUACUCAAUUUAAACAGAGAAACUGAACUAUUUGUUUUCAUAACUCAUGCUGGAGGCGUGUUUUCAACAUCUUCUGAUUAAAUAUCACUUCAAAGGAAAACUUAUAAGCUGAAAAAUCAAUGGUCACAAGUACACUAAAAAUUAACUGAUUCAAAAAUGUUCUUAUCCUACUUUGGAAACAAGGCGAAGGAGUAAAACGGAUGCGUGACUGGAAAUGUAAUGUGAAGAUGACUCUGCAGUGAAUAGACACGCAUAUUACUGAAUAUUCUAACGCUCUGAUUAUUCUAACGUGGCGAUAU
rnacentral:lncRNA from 1 species